AUGUUUCCAUUCAAGUUCAAGAGGAAGCAAUUUCCUGUAAGGCUUAGCUUUGCUAUGACGAUUAACAAGGCUCAAGGACAGACGAUUCCGAUUGUUGGCGUGUACCUACCUAAUCCGGUGUUCUCUCAUGGUCAACUCUACGUCGCGUUGUCUCGAGCCACCGCGAAGAGAAACAUAAAGAUCCUCAUUGAGAAGGAGAAGGAGAAGGAUAAUGGCAAGAAGCAAAGUGGUAAAUCAAAGAAGCGAAAAAGACCUUCCUUGUCCUUACAAACCUCGAUGAAGAACAUCGUCUAUAAGGAAGUCCUGACAGGCUGA
rnacentral:rRNA from 1 species